rnacentral:rRNA from 1 species
GAUGAACGCUAGCGGCAGGCCUAAUACAUGCAAGACGAACGGUAAGAUUUUUAGCAAUAGAGAUCCUAGAGUGUCGUAAGGGUGCGUAACACGUAUGCAAUCUGCCCUCAACAGGAGAAUAGCUCCCCGAAAGGGGAAUUAACACUCCGUAAUAUCACAUAAUGGCAUCAUUGAGUGAUUAAAACUCAGGUGGUUGAGGAUGAGCAUGCGCAUGAUUAGUUAGUUGGCGGGGUAACGGCCCACCAAGACGAUGACCAUUAGGGGAACUGAGAGGUUGAUCCCCCACACUGACACGGAGAUACGGGCCAGACUCCUACGGGAGGCAGCAGUAGGGAAUAUUGGACAAUGGGUGCGAGCCUGAUCCAGCCAUGCCGCGUGCAGGAAGACGGCCUUCUGGGUUGUAAACUGCUUUUGCCAGGGGAUAAAACGGCUCUGCGGAGCUAAUUGAAGGUACCUGGUGAAUAAGCCACGGCUAACUACGUGCCAGCCGCCGCCGUAACAC